GCAUUGGUGGUUCAGUGGUAGAAUUCUCACCUUCCAUGCUAGAGAUCCGAGUUUGAGCCCCGGCCAAUGCA
rnacentral:tRNA from 1 species